rnacentral:rRNA from 1 species
GUGAACGUUGGCGGCGUGGAUUAGGCAUGCAAGUCGAGCGAUCGUAGCAAUACGGGAGCGGCAAACGGGGUAGGAAUACAUCGGGACGUACCUUUUGGUUGAGAAUAGCGUUGGGAAACUGACGGUAAUACUCAAUAAAGUCGAGAGACCAAAGGUUUACUGCCGGAAGAGCGGCCGAUGCGAUAUUAGGUAGUUGGUGGGGUAAUGGCCUACCAAGCCUGAGAUGUCUAGGGGGUGUGAGAGCAUGGCCCCCACCCCUGGUACUGGGAUACUGGCCAGACACCUACGGGUGGCUGCAGUCGAGGAUCUUCGUCAAUGGGCGAAAGCCUGAACGAGCGACGCCGCGUGCGGGAUGAAGGCCCUUGGGUUGUAAACCGCUGUCAGGGGGGAUGAAACCGUAAGGUUGACAGAGCCCCAGAGGAAGCACGGGCUAAGUUCGU